UCUCCAUGACAAUGACAUAUGCUGUAUAUAGGAGAUCUAUGAUUGUUGCUUGUUCUUUUUUUUGGAUUGGUGAACCGUCUCUGCUUGAUAAUGGGACUUUGAUAGUGGUAUUCAGCAACAUACACAUCCAUCAUCCAUUAAGCGAAAGGUGUUAAUUGCCCAGGUUUAAUGGUUAUAUUUAACUUUUUUUAUGGCAUAUAGUGGUGAUGGAGAAGGACUAUAAGGUUCUCUUCGUGGUUGACGAUAUUGAUGCAGAAGGUUAUUAAGGAUCCGAGUGAGACAAGGUUGACAAGGUCGUUGUUUCUGAUCGUGUCAUGGGCUUAUUAAUGUUGUCUGCUGCAUGGGGAAACUUAUGAAGGCUAAAGCUCUAAAUGAUUAUAGCGUAGAUGUAUAAUGUCUAGCACGAAGAUAAUGGAGAUCAACCCACACAAUGUCAUCAUAAAUGAGCUCAGGCAAUUCUUGUUCAACGAUUAUCUUUACUGAGGUAGACAACAAUGAUGCAAGAAAAGGUAUGAUACGUCUGAGGAGUUUUCCUGAUGCUGCUUGAGACUGCUUCUUUCACCUUAGAUUUCAGCCUUAGUCAUCCCAACGCAAAUGUGAAUAUAAUUAUAUGAUUCCUCAAAUAGCACAUCUUGAAGUGACACAAACGUGUGAGACGAUGUAUCUCUAUGCCUUUUCAAAAAGUAACGUAUCUUUGUUAAAACAACAAUAAGGUUCUUUUGGGAGAAGUGAAAAG